UCCGAGAUAGUAUAGUGGUCAAGUAUCCCUGCCUGUCACGCAGGGGACCCGGGUUCAAUUCCCGGUCUCGGAG
rnacentral:tRNA from 1 species